rnacentral:rRNA from 1 species
AUUGAACGCUGGCGGCAUGCCUAACACAUGCAAGUCGAGCGGAGCUUCGGACGGGUGAGUACUGCCUCGGAAUCUGCCUGUUGGUGGGGGAUCACGUCCGGAAACGGGCGCUAAUACCGCAUACUAUCAGAUGAGCCUAGGUCGGAUUCGCGAGUUGGUGGGGUAAAGGCUUACCAAGGCGACGAUCCGUAACUGGUCUGAGAGGAUGAUCAGUCACACUGGAACGGAGACACGGUCCAGACUCCUACGGGAGGCAGCAGUGGGGAAUAUUGGACAAGGGGCGAAAGCCUGAUCCAGCCAUGCCGCGUGAGUGAAGAAGGUCUUCGGAGUGUAAAGCACUGUAAGUUGGGAGGCGUUACCAACAGAAUAAGCACCGGCUAACUUCGUGCCAGCAGCCGCGGUAAUAC